UACAGAGGGUGCAAGCGUUAAUCGGAAUUACUGGGCGUAAAGCGUGCGUAGGUGGUUUUUUAAGUCAGGUGUGAAAUCCCCGGGCUCAACCUGGGAACUGCAUUUGAUACUGAAAAGCUAGAGUGUGGUAGAGGAUAGUGGAAUUCCCGGUGUAGCGGUGAAGUGCGUAGAUAUCGGGAGGAACACCCGUGGCGAAGGCGGCUCUCUGGGACGGUACUGACGCUGAGACGCGAAAGCGUGGGGAGCAAACAGG
rnacentral:rRNA from 1 species